GCGGCGGCGGCUUCCCGCGCCUGACGCUGCUGUGGCCCCAGUCUGCUGCCCACCCGCUCGUGGGUCGCCGCCGGGCGGUGGCCGUGCGCCGCCCUCUGUGGCCUCCUGCUCCAGACUGCCGCUCAUGUGCGAUCGCGGCAUGACCUGCUCUGCAGCGCUCAUUUUCCUCACCUGAAAAUGGCGAGGCUGAGGUGCUGGGUGCCUCGGCCUGACAGCGGAGGGUCGGGAUUUGAGUGCCGACCCCUCUCGGGGGCGGCGAUCGGCCGGGCUAGGGGCGAGGGCGGGAUCCACGAGGCGGGGAGGGCGCAGAGCGUUCCAAGUCUGGUUGCUGUUGUUGGAAGGGGAAAGCCCCCUGAGCCUCCUGCUGGUUCCUGCCUGGGUGGCAGGAUUGUGUUCCUAAAGGACUUAGCGCGGUGCUAAGGAGGACUCGACCAGGACCACCCACGCCAGUUCAGUGCUCUAGAAAUGAGAAGGAAAAAAGAAAUCUCAAAAUGCCCAUGGAGAAUUUGUGUCCAUAAUCUCCAAAGAGGCUUUUCUCCGCGAUGACACCAGCCCUAAAGGCCAUAAAUGAGAAGAUUGAGAAAUCCACCUUACAUAAAAUUAAAAACCUGAUGUGUACCAAAAGACCGGCCAAGUCAAACGUCAAGUUCAUUAUGGAAGCUUGUGGAAGGAACGGAUCCUAGGCCUGGGAGUACAAGGACAUUUGAAAUCUGUUGCCAACCUGUCUUUCCGGCAUGACCUUCAUAACUUCAUCCACAAUCUCUACAUUCCAGUGAAGCUGGACAGAUCCUUGUAAAUGUUGUGCUCUUUCACCCUCUGAGUCAGCUGGGAUGUGGCUGCUUUCCAUGUUCACAUAUGAGGAGACUGAGGCAGAGAAGUGGAGCAGCUCCAUUUGGCUGGUGCACCCUGAAGUUCGUUCACCACAAAUGGAGCCCCAGAGAUACAGCAAAGGCCCUGACAGCCAGGCUUACCAAGCCAGAGUGUGGCCCUGCUGGCAGCUAGGUGAGCUGUCUGUUGGCAGUGCUGUGGGGCCAGGUUAAAUUGGAAUUCCCAGGCAUCGGCAGCUGAGGGACUGGAACCAGAAGUUACUGAAACCUGGGGGCUUCCAGAGGAAGUUCGGGGGAAGCAGUACCCCGGAUGAGUCCAGGGACCAUCAGCAGGCCACCUGUAUCUGCAGCAGAAUCAUCAUGGGGCACCCCUACCCCAGCCACUAGAGCAGAAUCUCUGGAGGCAA